AUGGCAGAUGACACUGGUGCAGCGGGGAUCCCGGAGGCCCCAGGUGCCCCGGGAUGGGGAACUGCAGUGGCUUCCGCCGAGGCUUCCACAGUGGCAUCUGGGGCAAGGGAUAAGGAGUGGAUGCUGGUCGCCAAGCUGGGCCUCCUGGUCAAGGUCAUGAAGAUCAAGUCCUUGGAGGAGAUCUGUCUCUUCUCCCUGUCCAUCAAGGAAUCUGAGAUCACUGACUUUUUCCUGGGAGUCUCUUACAAGGAUGAGGUUUUGAAGAUUAUGCCGGUGCAGAAGCAGACCCGAGCUGGCCAGCGCACCAGGUUCAAGGUGUUUGUUGCCAUUGGGGACUACAAUGGCCACGUCGGUCUGGGUGUUAAGUGCUCUAAGGAGGUGGCCAUUGCCAUCCGCGGGGCCAUCAUCCUGGCUAAGCUCUCCAUUGUCCCAGUCCGCAGAGGCUGCUGGGGGAACAAGAUUGGCACGCCCCACAUGGUCCCUUGCAAGGUGACAGGCCACUGCGGCUCUGUGCUGGUUCGCUUCAUCCCCGCGCCCAGGGGCACUGGCAUUGUCUUGGCACCUGUGCCCCAGAUGCUGCUCAUGAUGGCUGGUGUCGAUGACUGCUACGGCUCAGCCAGGGGCUGCACUGCCACCCGGGGCAACUUCGCCAAGGCCACCUUUGAUGCCAUCUCUAAGGCCUACAGCCGCCUGACUCCCAGCCUUUGGAAGGAGAUGGUAUUCACCGAGUCUCCCUAUCAGGAAUUCACUGACCACCUUGUCAAGGCCCGUGCCAGAGUCGCUGUGCAGAGGACCCAGGCUCCAGCUGUGGCUACAACAUAGAGUUUUUAUACAAGAAUAAUAAAUUGAAUUAACUCUGAAAAACAAAAAUGUUACGAUAUACACAUUAUAUCUUAGUAGAACGGUUAGGCCGGAUCAGAAAGCUAAAUACCGCGCAUUCUCACUUGUAAGUGGGAGCUAAACGUUGAGUAUUUAGGGAGGGAAAGAUGGAGACAACAGAAACUAGGUAUUUCUGAAGGGGGGAGGGAAGGAAAGAGGGGACAAGGGUUGAAAAACUGUUGGGUACUAUGCUCAGUACCUGGUGACAGGAUAAGUCGUAACACAAACCUCAGCAUCAUGCAAUAUACCCAGGUAACAAACCUGUACAUGUACCCCCUAAAUCUAAAAUGAAAGUCGAAAAAAAUAAAACGAAAUAAAGCUAUUAAAUAAAAAGUGGAGACCUGGGGAUAGCCACAAGAGGGCGCACUGAGCACAGGCUUACCUCCUCCCUUGGGAACUGAGUUUCUUGGCCACACCUUCGAGGCCCUGGCCACGCCUCCAGGACUCUGGCCACACCCCCAAGGCUCUGGCACUGCACCUAGACCUUAACCACAGGCUAAGGUCCUGGUCGAACCCUCAAAGCAGUGUCUGAAGCAGCUCAUUCACGUUGCCAACUCCCCAGACUCUGACCACAAAUGCAUGCACAGACUUAGAGAUCCUUGGAAACACAGAACCUUAAA